GUUAAGUGCAAUGAUUCGAAAUGGUGUAGAAAUGUUGUGUACCUCGUUGCAGACGAAAUUAUGGAAAUGUGCCACGAGUAGUGGUGUUUUUUUCUCCUAAAAUGUCAGAACUCCAGCAGAACUGUAUAGCUGACUGCAAUACAUCAUGAAAAUUUCCAUGUUACCCAGAAUUCAAAGGAAAUAUAUUGUUACAGCUCGCAACAGAUGGUGUACUCCUGUGUGGUGUAACAGAGCGAAAUACUGUAGUGGAUUACUGCGAGUAUAAUGUUUUGGGAGUCUGCUGCACAGCAGUGGUGUGUGUGAUAUUCGAUAGGAACUCGGAAGAAAGGAACGAUUUGCUCGCAACUGUGACAACGCAUUUGAUGCGCCAAGCUGGCGGAGACCGUUCCUAGGGCGUGCGACAUCUCAGUUGCGAGUGGCAGUGGACGGCAAACUGGACGGCAGCGGCUGUGGUGAAUUCGACAGUUCCGGACUGGCAAUGUCACUGCCUUCUGCUACCAUAGCACGAACUUAAAUCUUCAGUGUGCAGAGUACUACAGCUUUUCGACUGGCUGCUCGGCCGGGUCACAGAAGCGGAACACAGCCUCAAUCGCCUAACGCCAAUGCUAACAGCGUGCAGCAAGUGUCGUUUUGGUGCGGCCACUGGCAAUGCCCUCUUAACACAAUCUACUUGCCGACUUCUCGGCCCUGCCGUGGUUUGUGCAGCUGGCAGACACUGGGCUGCCAGCAGUCCGUGAUAGGUGCGCUGCAGCAAUUUGACUCUUACAGCUGCAGUCUUGUUUCUGUACAAGACAUUUCUUUUCGCUCCCUGUAUUUUAUGCGUGACAACUUAAGAAUUCCAAAUAGUGCAUUCCGAGCAGUGGCAGCAGGAGAAAAAUAUAAACGUAUUAAAAUCCGCAGGCUUUUGGAACCAGUGUCUUCUCCUCUCUGGUGCCUAAAGCUCACCAGACCUUUUCCUUCACCCCUCUUUCC